GGGCGCGGCGCAUGCGCGAGCCGGCAUAUUUUCCCCGGAGGUGCGGCCGGGAUUCUGUACCUAAGAGCACACCUCUGCGUCCAGGAAGAGCAGGGAGAGGAAGUUUGGCAGAAUAGGAGCAGCAUGAGCAGAAUUUGAAAGCUCAGGUGAAGCAUUAAGCAGUGAUAACAUAGCAGCUCAAGAAAUUGCCAGAGGCCUUCCCUCCCUUCAUAUUCCAGGGUCCUGAAUGCUGGGUUUGCUUAAGGGAGAUGUUCACUGGAAAAGAACUUCAAAAGAGAUAUCCCUAGGUGAAUGGCUAAAUAAAAUUAAAAUAAAGUAACACUACCCAGAUGUUCAUAGUGCAUGAAUGGAUAAACAAAAUGUGGUAUGCAUGCAAUGGAAUGUUAUUCAGCCUUGACAAGGAAGGAAAUUCUGACACAGGCUGCAGCUUGGAGGAAGCUUGAGAACAUUGUGCUAAGUGGUGAAAUAAGCCAGUCACAGAAGAACAAACACUGCUCGACUCCAUAUUACGAGGCACGUGGAGUCAACACCUUCAUAGAGGCAGAAAGUAGAGUGGUGGCUGCCAGAAACCGAGGGAGAGGAGAAUGGGGAGGCAUAGUUGAUGGGUCAUUAGGACAGAUGAAAAUUCCGGGAACGGAUGGGGGCAAUGGUCGCAUAACAGUACAAAAGCCCUUAAUGCCCCCAAACCAUGUGCUUAAAAAUGGUGAAAAGGGUAAAUUUCAUGUUAUGUGUAUUUUACCACAACAACAAAAAAAGAGGAUCACUCCUACUUUCUAUCCUCACUUGAAAGUGAUAAGAAUCUGAAUGUCGUGACCUUGUAAUUAUGUAACAGAAAUGUGGCUUUUCUGGUUGGGUAUUCUCUUCUGGUACAAUAAAUGUAUUCUUACAA